CUACAGAGGGUGCGAGCGUUAAUCGGAAUUACUGGGCGUAAAGCGCGCGUAGGCGGCUUAUUAAGUCAGAUGUGAAAUCCCCGGGCUCAACCUGGGAACUGCAUCUGAUACUGGUAAGCUAGAGUUUUGGAGAGGGAAGUAGAAUUUCAGGUGUAGCGGUGAAAUGCAUAGAGAUCUGAAGGAAUACCAGUGGCGAAGGCGACUUCCUGGCCAAAAACUGACGCUGAGGUGCGAAAGCGUGGGUAGCAAACGGGAUUAGAAACCCCUGUAGUCC
rnacentral:rRNA from 1 species